GGACCCGCACAAGCGGUGGAGCAUGUGGGUUAAUUCGAUGAUACGCGAAAAACCUUACCUACCCUUGAAAUCCCUAGAAUCCUUUAUAACUAAAGGAGUGCCUUCGGGAACUAGGUGACAGGUGCUGCAUGGCUGUCGUCAGCUCGUGUCGUGAGAUGUUGGGUUAAGUCCCAUAACGAGCGCAACCCUUAUUCUUAGUUACCAGCGCGUCAUGGCGGGAACUCUAAGAAAACUGCCGGUAACAAACCGGAGGAAGGCGAGGACGAUGUCAAGUCAUCAUGGCCCUUACGGGUAGGGCUGCACACGUGCUACAAUGGACGGUACAACGGGUUGCCAAGCCGCGAGGUGGAGCUAAUCCUUUAAAACCGUUCUCAGUCCGGAUUGGAGUCUGCAACUCGACUCCAUGAAGUCGGAAUCGCUAGUAAUCG
rnacentral:rRNA from 1 species